rnacentral:rRNA from 1 species
UACGAGUGCCCCAAGCGUUAUCCGGAAUUAUUGGGUGUAAAGGGUGUGUAGGCGGUCUUGUUAGUCGUAUGUUAAAUCUCUGGGCUUAACUCAGAAAUCGCACGCGAUACGGCAAGACUAGAAGAUGCGAGAGGUCUGUAGAACUCAUAGUGUAGGGGUGAAAUCCGUUGAUAUUAUGGGGAAUACCAAAAGCGAAGGCAGCAGACUGGCGCACUCUUGACGUUGAAACACGAAAGCGUGGGUAGCGAAUGGG